AGCCUUCCAAAGUGCAAAUUUUGUAUACUUUUGUAUUGCAAUUUUUGCACGCAAUACAAAAGUAUACAAAAUUUGCAAAGUUUGUAAGGCUAU